rnacentral:rRNA from 1 species
CACGGGGGGAGCAAGCGUUGUUCGGAAUCACUGGGCGUAAAGGGCGUGUAGGCGGUCAGGUAAGUGAGAUGUGAAAUGCCCCGGCUCACCCGGGGACCGGCAUCUCAUACUGCUUGGCUUGAGUACGGGAGAGGAUGUGGGAAUUCCUGGUGUAGCGGUGAAAUGCGCAGAUAUCAGGAGGAACACCAAUGGCGAAGGCAGCACUCUGGGACGUGACUGACGCUGAGACGCGAAAGCGUGGGGAGCAAACAGG